GCACCGGUGGUGUAGUGGUAACACAAACUCAUAAUGUAUACCACGAAUGCACUCUGGAAGUUAUGAGUGAGUCUGGGGUUUGAGUCCCCAUUGGUGCA